rnacentral:rRNA from 1 species
UACGGGGGGGGCAAGCGUUGUUCGGAAUUACUGGGCGUAAAGGGCUUGUAGGUGGCCAACUAAGUCAGACGUGAAAUCCCUCGGCUUAACCGGGGAACUGCGUCUGAUACUGGAUGGCUGGAGUGUGGGAGAGGGAUGCGGAAUUCCAGGUGUAGCGGUGAAAUGCGUAGAUAUCUGGAGGAACACCGGUGGCGAAGGCGGGAUCCUGGGCCAGUACUGACGCUGAGGAGCGAAAGCGUGGGGAGCAAACAGG